AUUUUAUUGACAUUCAAAGCAAAGUUCUUGGCUAGGUUUAGAUCUUCAUAACUCACGAAGUUUGCUUCGGAUGUCGUUUGCUGGAUUUCCCAGAUCAGAGCCAAAAAAUCUCUUGCAUCUCCUGAGUCAACGGUCACUCAUCGGCGAGUAGACAUAUUUGGAAUUUCAGUGCAUGGAGGAUGUUUACCAGCCGGGAUGAAGAAAAUAAGCUACUAGGAACUGCUUGGACAUGGUGGAAGUUUCCUUGUCUUCGACCCACAGAUUGUAGCAUGAAACACUUUUCAUGACUUGAA